rnacentral:rRNA from 1 species
UCAAUGGGUCAGCGGCGGACGGGUGAGUAACACGUGGGCAACCUGCCCAACAGACUGGGAUAACUCCGGGAAACCGGAGCUAAUACCGGAUAGGUUCUUUUUGUCACCUGGCAGAAAGAGGAAAGGCGGUUUCGGCCGUCACUGUUGGAGGGGCCCGCGGCGCAUUAGCUAGUUGGUGAGGUAAGGGCUCACCAAGGCGACGAUGCGUAGCCGACCUGAGAGGGUGAUCGGCCACACUGGAACUGAGACACGGUCCAGACUCCUACGGGAGGCAGCAGUAGGGAAUCAUCCGCAAUGGGCGAAAGCCUGACGGUGCAAUGCCGCGUGAGUGAAGAAGGUUUUCGGAUCGUAAAGCUCUGUUGUGAGGGAAGAACAGUUCGAGGAGGCAAUGCCUCGGAUGUGACGGUACCUCACCAGAAAGCCACGGCUAACUACGUGCCAGCAGCCGCGGUAAUACGUAGGUGGCGAGCGUUGUCCGGAAUUAUUGGGCGUAAAGGGCACGCAGGCGGUUCAUUAAGUCUGAUGUGAAAGGCUGUGGCUCAACCACAGAAUGGCAUUGGAAACUGUUGAACUUGAGUGCA